ACGUUGAAACACCUGUUCCAGUAUAAUCACCGACGGUAAGCAACGUCGAGGCUGGUUAGUACCUAGAUGGGUGACCGCUUGGGAAUACCAGACGCUGUAA